rnacentral:rRNA from 1 species
GUAGGUGGCAAGCGUUGUCCGGAAUUAUUGGGCGUAAAGCGCGCGCAGGCGGUCCUUUAAGUCGGAUGUGAAAGCCCACGGCUCAACCGUGGAGGGUCAUUGGAAACUGGGGGACUUGAGUACAGAAGAGGAAAGCGGAAUUCCAAGUGUAGCGGUGAAAUGCGUAGAGAUUUGGAGGAACACCAGUGGCGAAGGCGGCUUUCUGGUCUGUAACUGACGCUGAGGCGCGAAAGCGUGGGGAGCAAACAGGAUUAGAUACCCUGGUAGUCCACGCCGUAAACGAUGAGUGCUAAGUGUUAGGGGGUUUCCCGCCCCCUUAGUGCUGCAGCUAACGCAUUAAGCACUCCGCCUGGGGAGUACGGCCGCAAGGCUG